rnacentral:rRNA from 1 species
UACGUAGGCAGCGAGCGUUGUUCGGAGUUACUGGGCGUAAAGAGCUCGUAGGUGGUUCGGUAAGUCGGAUGUGAAAUCUCCAGGCUCAACCUGGAGGGGUCAUUCGAUACUGCCGUGACUAGAGUUCGGUAGGGGAGUGUGGAAUUCCUGGUGGAGCGGUGAAAUGCGCAGAUAUCAGGAGGAACACCCGUAGCGAAGGCGGCACUCUGGGCCGAUACUGACACUGAGGAGCGAAAGCGUGGGGAGCGAACAGG